rnacentral:snRNA from 1 species
GGGCUCACUUCAGCAGCACAUACAGUAAAACUGGAAUGAUACAGAGAAGAUUAGCACAGCCCCUGCACAAAGAUGUCACACAAAUCCAUGAAGCAUUCCAUAUUUUU